rnacentral:rRNA from 1 species
UACAGAGGAUGCAAGCGUUAUCCGGAAUGAUUGGGCGUAAAGCGUCUGUAGGUGGCUUUUUAAGUCCGCCGUCAAAUCCCAGGGCUCAACUCUGGACAGGCGGUGGAAACUACCAAGCUGGAGUACGGUAGGGGAAGAGGGAAUUUCCGGUGGAGCGGUGAAAUGCGUAGAGAUCGGAAAGAACACCAACGGCGAAAGCGAUCUGCUGGGCCGACACUGACACUGAGGCGCGAAAGCCAGGGGAGCAAACGGG